UCCGCGCUAGCGAAGCAGCAGCGUUAUGGACGCCGACGGAGAGCUCACUGCCCCGGCAGAAGAGUUUUAAAAGUUUCCCCGGGACCGGCCGGGGGUGGGGGGACACUUGAGACAAGGUUGCCCCAGAAAUGCUUUGGAUGAUAUUUCAGCGACUGAUUUUACCUCUACUAACAUCUUACUCCAAUGCUAUUCCAUGGAGGUGCCCUCCUGGUUCUUAUGCUUGAGGGGCACCAUUUCUGGUAUGAUCCACAAAUUGGGAUAAUAGGGAGCAUAGGACCUGUGAUGGACUGGCUCAAGACCUACUUCAGUUAAGAGAGACCUAUCACCAGAAUAAUGACAAUGGGGGGUUAAAGUUUUUGGUCACAUCCGCUUGUGACACAUCAUCUACCAAGGUGAAAUGAGCCUUUAUCAGAUUCACAUCUAUCCAAUUCCUAAAAAUUUGAAGGGAUAUCAACCAAGUGGCCUUUCCUCUGAAUCACAAGAGUAGUUUGAAGAGGAUUUUCUUUUCCUUGUAGUUUCUUUCCCUCCCUUGUAGUUGCAUUGACUUCAUAGCCUAAACUUCCCUCAUCUAACCUAAGAGUUUUGAGAAAAGAAUUAGGGAAAUUUUUUUCUAACCACAAAACACAUGAUUUCCCAUGUGGCAGUCCUUUAGAACAAUUCCUGAGGUCUAGUCUUCCCCAUUCUUUUAGAUCAAAGGAAACCAGAAACAAAUGAAAACUAUGCACUUAACAAUGAAUUUAACUUUAAACUUCACUUAAUUUAUAAGUCAAUUCCCACACUCAGCUCUUUGUGUAGAUCUUCUACUGAAAUCCUUGGACAGAAUACCCCAUAGUUGAAUCUUGCAGAAGAUGUUAAAGUAUUAUUUACACAAUCUACUUCAAAGUAAUAACCAUUGCUUUUACUUUCUAACUUCCUAAAGUGACUCAAUGAUUAACAGGUUGAACUCUGGAUUUUUUCCAUUUAAAAAAGGAUAUACCAACCAUUCUGUAGAGCAAUUUGGAACUAUGCCACUGGGCUAUAAAA